GACGAACGCUGGCGGCGUGCUCAACACAUGCAAGUCGAACGAAGAGCGAUGGAAGCUUGCUUCUAUCAAUCUUAGUGGCGAACGGGUGAGUAACGCGUAAUCAACCUGCCCUUCAGAGGGGGACAACAGUUGGAAACGACUGCUAAUACCGCAUACGAUCUAAUCUCGGCAUCGAGGAUAGAUGAAAGGUGGCCUCUACAUGUAAGCUAUCACUGAAGGAGGGGAUUGCGUCUGAUUAGCUAGUUGGAGGGGUAACGGCCCACCAAGGCGAUGAUCAGUAGCCGGUCUGAGAGGAUGAACGGCCACAUUGGGACUGAGACACGGCCCAGACUCCUACGGGAGGCAGCAGUGGGGAAUCUUCCGCAAUGGACGAAAGUCUGACGGAGCAACGCCGCGUGAGUGAUGACGGCCUUCGGGUUGUAAAGCUCUGUUAAUCGGGACGAAAGGCCUUCUUGCGAAUAGUGAGAAGGAUUGACGGUACCGGAAUAGAAAGCCACGGCUAACUACGUG
rnacentral:rRNA from 1 species